rnacentral:lncRNA from 1 species
GCCUGGAGGAGGCGCUUUGAGAGUCGAGGUCUCCCGCCCGCGCGCCUCCCUGGCGCAGACCUCUUUUAACUUUUUGGCGUGGAGUGCGCGUCCUGACGUGCCCCCUGAGCUACAGCUUACUGAGCUUUACUGGCUUCGCCGGACAGCCGUCCCCAGGUGGAGAGACAGCGCGUCGCGCGCUGCCCGGGCCCCGCAGGGCCUGGCGCCUGGGGCCCUUGCGCCGCUUUGGGGCGAGGGGAUCACACCGCGGGCUCCCGGAGCUUAGCGUCUUCCACGCGGCGCUGUGUGUCAUCCACGCAGUGUGCUCUCGCUGCCGUGUUCAGGUCACUGCGAGGGUGAGCCCCGCUUUAUCUACCCCUUCUGCUGUUGAUGGGCACUCGUCUGGGGCUAGAAGGGAUAAGGUUGCUGUGAGCGUUCUCGUGUGUUUUUGGUGCACGCGCACACACAUUUCUCUGGGGUGCAGACCUGUCUAGUAGUGGAACUGCCGUUUCCCAGCACUUUGGAGCAAAGCCCUGUUGCAGUCUGAAGCGGAAAAGGCAGACGGGCCUUCCAUGUUCGUGAUUCCAGCCAGGCACAGAAGGGAAGGACAGGGACAGCAGCCGCGCGGAGGCGAGGAGGGACACUGGGCGCUGCUGUCCCCUCUCAGGGGCAGCCACUCCUCUUGUGGACGCAGGUGUGGUCACCAGAAGGGAAGGACAGCAGAGGACUCUUCAGGGACCUUCCUGGAUCCCCCUGCAAUGGGAGUGGCCUACUUGCUUGACUUGAGGGUGAGACUUGGUCAGCCCUUGACUGUAGGGGGCAGGACCAUGGGCUUCAGUGGGGCAGCACCCAUGACCCACGCCUCUGCUUCCAUUCCCUGCUUACUGCCCGGGCCUCUGGGCAGGGGAGUCUAGUCUCCCUUCCCAGGCUUCCAAUGCCUCGCCCCCUGCUGUGGUAAGGAUUCGCGCUGGUCCCUAUUUAUUAAUCAGGGAACUUGGGGUUCCAGUUUUCUCCCCUUCUCUGCAUCUCAUCCCCUUGAGAGCCCCCUGGAGCAGAGGAUAACGCACGAGGGGACUGGCUGUGUAUAUUUUGAUAACAAUAUCAAAAUACUGUCAAAUACUAAACGGAAAAGAAAUAGGAAAACAUUGAACUUUAUUAAAAUGAACUUCAAAAGACACCAUUAAGAGUAAAAAGAUGACUCACAAAAAAGUUGCCUUUUGUUCAGUAAACGACUCAGGACCAGAAAAUAUGAAGACCCCUACAACAAGAAAAAUAUAGAUAGCUCAGUUAAAAAUUGACAAAAGACUUGAAAAGAUAUUUCACAAAAGGAGAGAUCCAGACAGUCAAUCCACACACGAAAGGGUACUUAGCAUCAGGGAACUGCAAAUAGUGACAUUCGAUUCCAUAUCACAGCCACUGGAUGGCUAAAAUAGCAACGCCAAGUGCUGAUGAGACUGUGGAACAACCAGCUGGGCUCUCAUACCCUGCUGAUGGGAGAGUGGAUUGGAGCAACCACGUGGAAACAUCUAAUGGAGGUAAGCAAACGCCUGCCAUAGGAACCAGCGUGUAUAUCCAAGGGAACCGAGUGCUAGGUUCCUGAUCAUGGUCAAGAUCGCCUACAGCAAAUUUACUUAUUUAUUUUAAUCCCCCAACAAAUGUCUUUAAUGUCUUUAGAAAGAUUAAUUAAAUGGUAGUAUUUUAAGAAUGCAAUGGUAUACUGCACAGCAACAAAAAAAUAACAAACUGCUAAUACUUGCAGCAACAUGGAUAAAUCUCAAAGUAUUGAAUGCAAAGCUACAAUAGAGUGCAUAACUAAGGAUUCCAUUAUAUAAAAUACAAAAUCCAGGCAAGACUGAUCUACAGUGUUAGAGGUCAGGAGAGAAUUUUGGAGGUAGUUGCUUGGGCACCGGGAUACUGCGUGGGGAGCUGUGAGUGCUGCAUAUCUUUAGCUGCGUCCUGCUUGGAGUGCAUACUCUGUGAAAAUUCAUCAACCUGUGCACUUAAGACUUGUGUACUUACAUUAUCUUUCAGGAAAAAGAAAAGAAAAGUAUGCCAAACUUUACCCUUCACCUUUCUUCUCAAAAUGGUCAGGUUUCAGAGCUGUGGUAGAAACUUCUAGUACUGACAACAGCCAGUACCUCCCCGCUUGGCAGCUGAGACUAUGGGACCAGUUCUGGCCAAUGGAAUGUGAGGGGAAAUGACGGAUGUCAAUUCCAGGCUGAAGCUUUUAGUUGCCAGAGCCAGGUCCUCCAGUCCUACCUUUCCACUGUGGCAGUCCCUCUGAAGUCCCAAGAUCAAGAGCUGACAGCUGAAUCCUUGCAUGGAGAGUCGCCUGGACCUGCAGUGGACUCUGGAUGAGGGAGUAUACACCCCUCUCCUGAGAUGGCAAACAGGAGGUCUGGAUCAAUCCUACAGUGUCGGCAAAUGUCUGGAUUACCCUGCAAGGAAAGGGAGGCAUGACAGCUCCACAUCUGUGUUCACCCUUGUGGAUCCCAGGUGAGACUCCAGAUGAAAUGGGAGAGUUCUCUGACCCCCUCACAGGACAUGUGACAGGAGUGUGGCUAGUCUGUUCAGCCUCCACCACUGCUGAAACACCUUAUGGGAGGGGGAGCAUGCAGAUGGGCAAGCGCAGGUGCCAGGGCCAGCGCUUUUGGGCUUCAACCCCAUGGUGGCAUCUAGGGGUGUGUGUCUGUGACUCCUGAAGCCCCAGUGUGUGUGCUCCAGUGCUCUUUUAGCUCUGCUGUCUGUCAGGCCUCUGAGCCCAAGCUAAGCCAUCAGAUCCCCUGUGACCUGCACGUAUACAUCCAGACGGCCUGAAGCAACUGAAGAACCACAAAAGAAGUGAAAAUAGCCAGUUCCUGCCUUAACUGAUGACAAUCCACCAUUGUGAUUUGUUCCUGCCCCACCCUAACUGAUCAAUUGGCCUUGUGACAUUCCUUCUCCUGGGCAACGAGUCUCAUGAUCUCCCCACCCUGCACCUUGUGAGCCCC